rnacentral:lncRNA from 10 species
GCCCUCUGGAUGGCAUGAGUAGGCAUCAGCUUGGAGUGGGAGAAACUAUGAGUCACUUGGUUGUUUUCAGUAAGUGGCAGGGAGUUUAAAAAGAGAACGGAUAGCUACAUUCCAAAUCGCAAAAAAUGUAAAAAAUCAUAUGGGCAUGAAUAACAUUCAGCCACAAAUAUUUAUGAAGCUUCUGCUGUGUGCCAGACAAAAUGGCUGGGUAUUAGGACUAUGACAGUGAAGAUAACACAGCCCUUGCUCUCAAGGAUUUACAGUUGAUGAGAAAGGCAGACAAAUCCAGGAGGCAUUAUAAUCCACCAUGACAGCUGCUGAGCUCUUCUGUGGGAAUUUGCAGCAGUGGCACCCACAUAUGUGGGCAUUUGGAGAAAGUGGGGAAAGCUUCCAGGAGGAAAUGAUGUCUUAACUGGGACAGAAGCAAGAAGAGUCAGCCAGGCUACCUUCAUCCCCAAACAGGAACUGCUGCAAGGCCCGCAGCAGCCAUGGGUGAGUGGCUCUGGAGAUGGGGUAAGUGGCCUACGCACCCCAGAGGAACAGCUGGCAGCCUAGUCUUCGGGCAGCAGCUCCACUCAGCCCUGGGGAAUGACAGAUACAGACAACCAGUUAUGCCAGUGAAGUGCCCUAAACUAGAGAUAGCUGGGGCGCUGUCAGCCACCUUAACAGUGAGAAGAAGCAACAGGAUGAAGUGGAAACAGCGUCACACAGAUGGAGCCUCGAAUCCCAGCAUGCUAGCCAUGUGUCAUCUUCAUAGUCUUCCUAACGUCUGUGGCCUCAGAUGCCACAUCAGUAAAUGGCACACCAUAUGUGAUUUAGGCUAAGGGCCUGAGUGUAAUAGUUGCUUAGGAAUUAUAGCCCUUCUUAAAUAAAUGGAGAAACAGUCCAUGUUCAUGGAUUGGAAGCCUCAAUGUUAUUAAGAUGGCAAAUCUCCCCAGAGUGACCUGUAGAUGCAACACAAUCCCUAUCAAAAUCCCAGCAGGCUUUUCACUCCUUUUUAAUAAGGACACCGGUCAUAUUGUAUUAAGGUCCAUCCUAAUGACCUCAUCUUAACUCAGCUACAUCUGCAAACACCUUAAUCCAAAUAUGACAUUCUGAGGUACUGGGAUUAGGGCUUCAAAAUAUCUUUUUGGGGGAACACAAGUCAACCCAUAACAGAUAAUUAACACAAAUACAUGGAAAACUAUCCCAUAUUCAUGGAUUGGAAGUACUAAUAGUAUUUAAAUGUCCAUAUUACCCAGAGGUCUAGAGAUUCAAUGCAAUCCCUAUCAAAAUACCCAUAAUGUUCUUCACAGAAGUGGGAGUAAACAAUCUUAAAAUUCAUGUGGAAAUGCAAAAGACCCUGGAUAGCCAAAGCAAUCGAGUAAAAGGAACAAAGCUGGAGGUCUCACCACAACACAUGGUUAAGGAGUUAAAAUGGGACAUUUGAAACUUUAUAUUACUACAGAGUUUAAUGCAAGAUUCAUGCAGAUUUUUAAAAGAUAAACCACGACACGUCACAGGAAUAUCUAGCUUUUGAUAUGUCCCCAUGCCUUCCACAGGUACCCUCCUACAGCUCCCCUCCACUGUCCCCUCCCUAAGGGGGUACAAUUCAGCUCUUUUGCCCUAAAGAGCAUUUGGAUGGAAAGUUUGAGAUGUCCUAACA